rnacentral:rRNA from 1 species
CAGUCGAACGAAGAACUUAAAAUGAGAGCUUCGGCAGGAUUUUUAUUUAUCUUACUGGCGGACGGGUGAGUAACGUGUGGGCAACCUGCCCUAUACUGGGGAAUAAUCACUGGAAACGGUGACUAAUACCGCAUGUCAUUACGGAAGGGCAUCCUUCUGUAAGAAAAGGAGUAAUUCGGUAUAGGAUGGGCCCGCAUCUGAUUAGCUAGUUGGUGAGAUAACAGCCCACCAAGGCGACGAUCAGUAGCCGACCUGAGAGGGUGAUCGGCCACAUUGGGACUGAGACACGGCCCAAACUCCUACGGGAGGCAGCAGUGGGGAAUAUUGCACAAUGGGGGAAACCCUGAUGCAGCAACGCCGCGUGAAGGAAGAAGGUUUUCGGAUCGUAAACUUCUAUCAACAGGGACGAAGAAAGUGACGGUACCUGAAUAAGAAGCCCCGGCUAACUACGUGCCAGCAGCCGCGGUAAUACGUAGGGGGCAAGCGUUAUCCGGAAUUACUGGGUGUAAAGGGAGCGUAGGCGGCACGCCAAGCCAGAUGUGAAAGCCCGAGGCUUAACCUCGCGGAUUGCAUUUGGAACUGGCGAGCUAGAGUACAGGAGAGGAAAGCGGAAUUCCUAGUGUAGCGGUGAAAUGCGUAGAUAUUAGGAAGAACACCAGUGGCGAAGGCGGCUUUCUGGACUGAAACUGACGCUGAGGCUCGAAAGCGUGGGGAGCAAACAGGAUUAGAUACCCUGGUAGUCCACGCCGUAAACGAUGAGUGCUAGGUGUCGGGGAGGAAUCCUCGGUGC